rnacentral:tRNA from 1 species
CAGAGAAUAGUUUAAAUGAAAAUUUUAAUUUUGGAGAUUAAGGAUAAAUGAAUUUUUUUCUCUGA